GGCGGGGACUCGUAUGGAAGGAGACGCUGCUGGUGACCUGUUCUCUCCUUGCGAGUCUCUGCUGC
rnacentral:precursor_RNA from 1 species